rnacentral:lncRNA from 1 species
AUGCCUGUCUCAAACGGAAAGCAAAGAGAAUGCAUAGGCUCCUUGAAAGUGAACUGCAUCAAACUUCGGGCCCAUACUGCUCGAUCUUCCAACAGUGUGGGAGAGACAACUGCACAGGCAGGGAGGAAAGCUUUUUCCAUUGCGCUGAAGGGGUUGUGCACCAUUUAUCAAGCUGACUGCUCUGUCAUAUCAGUGGAAGGACCCUGGAGAGCCCUGACCAUGAGAUUGAAGACCACCAUAAAUGACACAGAAGAGGAUGAUUCAUCAACAGCAACUGCUUUAAUGGACCUCUUUAGCAUGACGGGGUAUUAUGUGACUCAGAUAUUACAAUGUAAUCCGGAAAUGUACCACUGA